rfam:Oryza sativa Japonica Group DNA, chromosome 6, cultivar: Nipponbare, complete sequence.
GUCGAUAUGUCCGAGUGGUUAAGGAGGUAGACUCGAAAUCUACUGGGCUUUGCCUGCGCAGGUUCGAAUCCUGCUGUCGACG